GCUAAAAUGCUAGCUUAAACAGCGAGAUUAGCCACCCCCUAUUCGUACUCGCCCAUAAAUCAAAGCCCACAACUAAAGCAUUCUACCACCCCAGUACGGGAGACAGAAAAGGACCCCAAAGCCAUAGAGAAA
rnacentral:rRNA from 1 species